CUGAGUCCAUGAUGAUGUCAAGUUAUCCCUGGCUGAAGGCAGAGAAAGGCCUUCCUGUGUGGAAUGUGUCAUCUGAAACUCGG
ensembl:snoRNA